UACGUAGGGUGCGAGCGUUGUCCGGAAUUAUUGGGCGUAAAGGGCUCGUAGGCGGCUUCUUAAGUCGGUGGUGAAAUCCUGGAGCUCAACUCCAGAACUGCCUUCGAUACUGGGAAGCUCGAGUCCGGGAGAGGUGAGUGGAACUGCGAGUGUAGAGGUGAAAUUCGUAGAUAUUCGCAAGAACACCAGUGGCGAAGGCGGCUCACUGGCCCGGUACUGACGCUGAGGCGCGAAGGCGUGGGGAGCGAACGGG
rnacentral:rRNA from 1 species